rnacentral:rRNA from 1 species
UGGGCCUACGGGAGGCAGCAGUGGGGAAUAUUGCACAAUGGGGGGAACCCUGAUGCAGCAAUGCCGCGUGGGUGAAGAAGUAUUUCGGUAUGUAAAGCUCUGUCAGCAGGGAAGAAAGAAAUGACGGUACCUGACCAAGAAGCCCCGGCUAACUACGUGCCAGCAGCCGCGGUAAUACGUAGGGGGCAAGCGUUAUCCGGAAUUACUGGGUGUAAAGGGAGCGUAGACGGUGAUGCAAGUCUGGAGUGAAAGGCGGGGGCCCAACCCCCGGACUGCUCUGGAAACUGUGUAACUUGAGUGCAGGG